CCUAACUCUCAACUCAGCAUUGCGGGAACUAAACAUCACAAUCAGCUUCAGGAGCCUCACUGUUGCCAUGGGUUACAUGAAUUCAAAUCUAAGGAUGGAACCAAAACAGGCCCUUAAAUAUCAGCCCUCGAGUGGGAGGUGAAAUGAAGUGCUCUAACACCUUAAAGGAAAACAGGAGACGCGUGGCAAGGGGGGCUUGCAAGUCUUGGCAGAUACCCAGAGAAAUAAGAACGAAUGUCUGAAACUAGAC
rnacentral:lncRNA from 1 species